rnacentral:tRNA from 1 species
UGGGUUGUGGCUCAGCGGUAGAGUGCUUGCCUGGCACGUGAGAGGUGCUGGGUUGGAGCUCAGCACCACAU